GACGAACGCUGGCGGCGUGCUUAACACAUGCAAGUCGAACGGAAAGGCCCUGCUUUUGUGGGGUGCUCGAGUGGCGAACGGGUGGGUAACACGUGAGUAACCUGCCCUUGACUUUGGGAUAACUUCAGGAAACUGGGGCUAAUACCGGAUAGGAGCUCCUGCUGCAUGGUGGGGGUUGGAAAGUUUCGGCGGUUGGGGAUGGACUCGCGGCUUAUCAGCUUGUUGGUGGGGUAGUGGCUUACCAAGGCUUUGACGGGUAGCCGGCCUGGGAGGGUGACCGGCCACAUUGGGACUGAGAUACGGCCCAGACUCCUACGGGAGGCAGCAGUGGGGAGUAUUGCACAAUGGGCGGAAGCCUGAUGCAGCAACGCCGCGUGCGGGAUGACGGCCUUCGGGUUGUAAACCGCUUUCGCCUGUGACGAAGCGUGAGUGACGGUAAUGGGUAAAGAAGCACCGGCUAACUACGUG
rnacentral:rRNA from 1 species